UGAGGAAUAUUGGACAAUGGGCGCAAGCCUGAUCCAGCAAUGCUGCGUGCAGGAUGAAGGCCUUCGGGUUGUAAACUGCUUUUGUACGGAGCGAAAAGGUCUGCCCUAAUACGGUGGGCUCAUGACGGUACCGUAAGAAUAAGCACCGGCUAACUACGUGCCAGCAGCCGCGGUAAUACGUAGGGUGCGAGCGUUAAUCGGAAUUACUGGGCGUAAAGCGUGCGCAGGCGGUUAUAUAAGACAGAUGUGAAAUCCCCGGGCUCAACCUGGGACCUGCAUUUGUGACUGUAUAGCUAGAGUACGGUAGAGGGGGAUGGAAUUCCGCGUGUAGCAGUGAAAUGCGUAGAUAUGCGGAGGAACACCGAUGGCGAAGGCAAUCCCCUGGACCUGUACUGACGCUCAUGCACGAAAGCGUGGGGAGCAAACA
rnacentral:rRNA from 1 species